GACGAACGCUGGCGGCGCGCCUAACACAUGCAAGUCGAACGGAGCUGCGAGUAGCUUGCUGUUCUUAGCUUAGUGGCGCACGUGUGAGUAACGCGUGUGUAACCUGCCCUGGAGUGGGGGACAACAGUUGGAAACGACUGCUAAUACCGCAUAAGCUCACGAUCCGGCAUCGGAUUGAGGGAAAAGGGUUUAUUCGCUUCAGGAUGGACUCGCGUCCAAUUAGCUAGUUGGUGAGGUAACGGCCCACCAAGGCGACGAUUGCUAGCCGGACGGAGGGGUUGAACGGCCACAUUGGGACUGAGACACGGCCCAGAAUCCUACGGGGAGCAGCAGUGGGGGAUAUUGCACAAGGGGGGAAACCCUGAUGCAGCGACGCCGCGUGGAGGAAGAAGGUUUUCGGAUUGUAAACUCCUGUCGUUAGGGACGAUAAUGACGGUACCUAACAAGAAAGCACCGGCUAACUACGUG
rnacentral:rRNA from 1 species